GACAGAGGGUGCAAACGUUGCUCGGAAUCACUGGGCGUAAAGCGUGUGUAGGCGGAACGUUAAGUGCCUUGUGAAAUCCCACGGCUCAACCGUGGAACUGCUGGGCAUACUGGCGUUCUUGAGCCAGCCAGGGGUCGUCGGAACAAACGGUGGAGCGGUGAAAUGCGUAGAUAUCGUUUGGAACGCCAAAGGCGAAAGCAGACGACUGGGGCUGAGCUGAUGCUGAGACACGAAAGCCAGGGGAGCAAACGGG
rnacentral:rRNA from 1 species